UACCAGCACCCCGAGUGGUCGGGACGUUUAUUGGGCCUAAAGCAUCCGUAGCCGGUUCUACAAGUCUUCCGUUAAAUCCACCUGCUCAACAGAUGGGCUGCGGAAGAUACUAUGGAGCUAGGAGGCGGGGAGAGGCAAGCGGUACUCGAUGGGUAGGGGUAAAAUCCGUUGAUCCAUUGAAGACCACCAGUGGCGAAGGCGGCUUACCAGAACGCGCUCGACGGUGAGGGAUGAAAGCUGGGGGAGCAAACCGG
rnacentral:rRNA from 1 species